rnacentral:lncRNA from 1 species
AAAGAGAAGAUGGGAUUGGACCAUCACAAUCGCACACCAUAGAAAACAAUGAGUAUUGGAGCAACCAGAAUGUGACCGGGAGUAAUUGUUUCACAGAUAAUUAUAUUGCACCUAGUUUUACCGAUUUGGUGACGGUAAGUGUGAUCUGAAAUUGUGUUCUGCUAGUACGUUCAAUAAUGCAGCUGUACAUUGUGAUGAAAUUACUUUUUGUAAUGCAGACUUCUAGAGUCGAAGACAUUGAAGCCCUUUGCCGUGACGACUUCUUUUGAUAAUUAAAGGAAGUGCUCUCUUCAUUUGGAUGCAGUGAAAAGUCCAUUUAGCAGUAGUUCUGUGAAAUGCACUCAUGUGAUGUGGCUUCUCAGUGUUAUGGUAUUUUGGGGAUUUAUAUAAGUAGUAAUAGUACUCUGUUGGUGCUUGAGUUUCAAUGCUCAAAAUUGCAAAAAUAUUUGAGUUUCAUUGCUAAAAAAUCCAGUACUUUGUUAAUACAAAUAGCAUGCUUGGAUGCUUCAGUGCUAAACAUUGCAGUAGCACUUCAGUUUCAGUUCUACAAAUUUCAGUACUCUGUUAGUAGAGUGCUUGGCUGAUUUAGG